CCUACGGGCGGCAGCAGUGGGGAAUAUUGCACAAUGGGCGAAACCCUGAUGCAGCGACGCCGCGUGAGUGAGGAAGUUUUUCGGUAUGUAAAGCUCUAUUAGCAGGGAAGAAAAUGCCGGUACCUGACUAAGAAGCUCCGGCUAACUACGUGCCAGCAGCCGCGGUAAUACGUAGGGGGCAAGCGUUAUGCGGAUUUACUGGGUGUAAAGGGAGCGUGGACGGUUAAUCAAGUCAGAAGUGAAAACCCAGGGUUCAACCUUAGAACUGCGGUUGAAACUGAGUGGCUAGAGUGCAGGAGAGGUAAGCGGAAUUCCUAGUGUAGCGGUGAAAUGCGUAGAUAUAAGGAGGAACACCAGUGGCGAAGGCGGCUUACUGGACUGUAACUGACGUUGAGGCUCGAAAGCGUGGGGAGCAAACAGGAUUAGAUACCCUGGUAGUC
rnacentral:rRNA from 1 species